CCUCCCUCGCUUUUGGAGCUCCGACCUCAGCUUCGCCUGCGAGCUGGGUUGUGUAAAGGCUGGUCAUUUUGGGGCGCUUAGGGGUGGGUGCCGGGGGGCGCGCUUUCCCUCGUGAAGGUCGCUCCAGGAGUCAUGCGUACAUUCGUUCAUUUUGCUCUGGACGCACUGAUGUUCCCGGCUCGCCGCCGUGCCGCAGUCACGAGGCUCUCCGAACGCCUUUCACUGUGUUUCUGUUUACAUUCGCGUCUGCAAGACCCGGCGGCGCGACCGAGGCCCGAACAGAUGGAGAUGGGCUGCCAUGUUGUGAGCUGCCCCAUGGGGAAGAGGCUCACAUGUGAGGAACUGAGGGAGGCCUCCAGAAAACAGCCAGUGAAGAACUGAGACCCUCAGUCCAAUAGCCUAUGAGGAACUGAAUCCUGCUGACAACCAUAUGAAUGAGCUUGGAAGCAGAUCCUUCCCCAGUGAAGCCUUCAUGUGAGACUGCAGCCCACUUGACACUUUGAUUUGUAGCUUGUGACAGACCCCAAGCCAGAAGAGUCAGGAAAUCCAAGCUAAUUCCUGUGCCAAAGGCUGGCUUAAGAGAGGGCCCACAAUGCAAUUCUGGCCUGUCUUCCUCUGCUGGAUGUCACCUUAUUUGAACUGGACACUUAGAACCAUGACAGCCAUCUGUGUCUAUGAGGGAGUGAGCCAGAGAACCAAGCUGACAUGUUGAAUAUGGACUUCUUUAAGGGCAUGAUGGCAAACAUCCUCAUUGUAAUUCCUUUGGAUGGAUCAUUUUGUGUCAGGAAUU
rnacentral:lncRNA from 1 species